GGUUGAUGGGCUGCCCUGGGUGAUUCCUCCUGCUGUGAGCUGUCAAUUUUGCUUUGUGGCCCCAGUUGGGAACAGGAAGUGAGUACUCCCUCCAGCGGAGGUAUGAGUCUAUUGUUUUGAAACUGGUUGUGUGAGUGCUGCCAGGUGGGGUCAGCCACCCGGGUGAGGUUCCUUCACCGUUUUGCUGUGAUUUGGAGCACUGGGCACUUUUUUUGUGUGUGUUUGAUGUUUGCCGUGUGUGUAUAUGCACCCCGGACACUCUCCCCCUUAAAUCUGUCCCCAUCUUUUUGGCAGCCUCAGCCACAGCCUUGUUUUUUUUUUUUUAGACUGUGGAUCUAUUUGUCAAAGUAAUUGCUUCACUGUAAUAAAUCUUUAUACAUACCC